GACGAACGCUGGCGGCGUGCCUAAUACAUGCAAGUAGAACGCACAGUUUAUACCGUAGCUUGCUACACCAUAGACUGUGAGUUGCGAACGGGUGAGUAACGCGUAGGUAACCUGCCUGGUAGCGGGGGAUAACUAUUGGAAACGAUAGCUAAUACCGCAUAAUAUUAAUUAUUGCAUGAUAAUUGAUUGAAAGAUGCUAUUGCAUCACUACCAGAUGGACCUGCGUUGUAUUAGCUAGUAGGUGAGGUAACGGCUCACCUAGGCGACGAUACAUAGCCGACCUGAGAGGGUGAUCGGCCACACUGGGACUGAGACACGGCCCAGACUCCUACGGGAGGCAGCAGUAGGGAAUCUUCGGCAAUGGACGAAAGUCUGACCGAGCAACGCCGCGUGAGUGAAGAAGGUUUUCGGAUCGUAAAGCUCUGUUGUAAGAGAAGAACGGGUGUGAGAGUGGAAAGUUCACACUGUGACGGUAUCUUACCAGAAAGGGACGGCUAACUACGUG
rnacentral:rRNA from 1 species